UCGAAACCUGCCCAGCAGAGCGACCCGUGAACAUGUUCAACCUCGUGGGUAUUGGGGCGUUGCUCGUGCCUAGUGUGCUCGGCCGUCCCUCUCCCAAGCCGGCGGAGCGCUCACUUGUGGGCUGUUUUUCCGGCUGAACAACAAACCCCGGCGCUUAAUGCGUCAAGGAAUACAAACAUUAUGUGUGUACUCUCGGCGUGUAGUGCGUCUGAGCGGUGCCAUGUCUUAACAAUGAACGACUCUCGGCAACGGAUAUCUUGGCUCUCGCAUCGAUGAAGAACAUAGCGAAACGCGAUACCUGGUGUGAAUUGCAGAAUCCCGUGAACCAUCGAGUUUUUGAACGCAAGUUGCGCCAGAAGCCUUUGGCCUAGGGCACGUCUGCCUGGGCGUCACGCAUUGCGUCUCACCCAAACCCACCUCGAGUGUAGGGGAAGGAGGAUGGUCUCCCGUGACUCACCGGUCGCGGCUGGCCUAAAAUUGGAGCCCUCGACAUCGGGAUGUCGUGGCGACAGGUGGUGAACAAGGCCUUGGCCAAGCAAGCAACCCGCCGCGCGUCACGAUGUCAACGUGAGCUCGAAGGGCCCUUUAAGUUGCCCAACGGCUACCUAACUGUUGCGACCCCAGGUCAGGCGGGACUACCC
rnacentral:rRNA from 1 species